AUUGAACGCUGGCGGCAUGCCUUACACAUGCAAGUCGAACGGCAGCACGGGAGCAAUCCUGGUGGCGAGUGGCGAACGGGUGAGUAAUAUAUCGGAACGUGCCCGGUCGUGGGGGAUAACGUAGCGAAAGCUACGCUAAUACCGCAUACGAUCUACGGAUGAAAGCGGGGGAUCGCAAGACCUCGCGCGAUUGGAGCGGCCGAUAUCAGAUUAGGUAGUUGGUGAGGUAAAGGCUCACCAAGCCGACGAUCUGUAGCUGGUCUGAGAGGACGACCAGCCACACUGGGACUGAGACACGGCCCAGACUCCUACGGGAGGCAGCAGUGGGGAAUUUUGGACAAUGGGCGCAAGCCUGAUCCAGCAAUGCCGCGUGCAGGAUGAAGGCCUCGGUUGU
rnacentral:rRNA from 1 species